rnacentral:rRNA from 1 species
CGGAUCGCAGGCNGCAACUCGCCUGCGUGAAGUUGGAAUUGCUAGUAAUCGCGGAUCAGCAUGCCGCGGUGAAUACGUUCCCGGGCCUUGUACACACCGCCCGUCACACCAUGGGAGUUUGUAACACCCGAAGCCAGUAUCCUAACCGCAAGGGGGGAGCUGCCGAAGGUGGGAUAAGCGACUGGGGUGAAGUCGUAACAAGGUAGC